rnacentral:rRNA from 1 species
CCUACGGGGUGCUGCAGUGAGGAAUAUUGGUCAAUGGACGAGAGUCUGAACCAGCCAAGUAGCGUGAAGGAUGACUGCCCUAUGGGUUGUAAACUUCUUUUAUAUGGGAAUAAAACGUUCCACGUGUGGGAUUUUGUAUGUACCAUAUGAAUAAGGAUCGGCUAACUCCGUGCCAGCAGCCGCGGUAAUACGGAGGAUCCGAGCGUUAUCCGGAUUUAUUGGGUGUAAAGGGAGCGUAGGUGGAUUGUUAAGUCAGGUGUGAAAGUUGGCGUCUCAACCGUAAAAUUGCAGUUGAAACUGGCAGUCUUGAGUACAGUAGAGGUGGGCGGAAUUCGUGGUGUAGCGGUGAAAUGCUUAGAUAUCACGAAGAACUCCGAUUGCGAAGGCAGUUCACUGGACUGCAACUGACACUGAGGCUCGAAAGUGUGGGUAUCAAACAGGAUUAGAUACCCUGGUAGUC